GAGUUAGGGUCUUCUAGGCCCGAUCUCCCAACCCUCUGAUUACUGAACCUCUGUUGCUUCGGCGGACCCGUCUUCAUUGACCGCCGGAGGACCGCCUCACGGUGCCCUCUGGCCAGCGUCCGCCGAUAGCCAACCUUUAUAAACUCUGAAAUAAUCGUGUCAUGUCUAAGUCAAUUGAUAAAUUAAAGCAAAACUUUCAACAACGGAUCUCUUGGUUCU
rnacentral:misc_RNA from 1 species